UUUCCGUAGGUGAACCUGCGGAAGGAUCAUUACAGAGUUCAUGCCCUCACGGGUAGAUCCCCCACCCUUGAAUAUUUAUACCUUAGUUGCUUUGGCAGGCCGUGGAAGCACCAUGGGCUCCGGCUUAUGCGUGCCUGCCAGAGGAAACAAACUCUGUUUUUAGUGAUGUCUGAGUACUAUAUAAUAGUUAAAACUCUCAACAACGGAUCUCUUGGUUCUG
rnacentral:misc_RNA from 1 species